CUCUCAUUUCUCGCUGUCGUUUGAUGCUGCUCCACCGCACUCCAUCUCCAAUGGCGCACCUCAUUCGGGACGAGUCAUCGUGUCGUCUCGCCUACUCCGGAGCUGCGCGAUCCUUGUCCACGGCUUGGUGGCGCCACGUGGAGCCUGCUCCCAAGGAUCCCAUCCUCCGCGUUACCGAAGCUUUCCUCGUCGAUCCUAGCCCUGCAAAAGUCAGUGUCGACGAUGCUGCUUAUCGUGAUGAUAACGGAAAGCCAGUGGUUCUGGAGUGCGUCAGAGAAACCGAGAGGAGAAUCGCCGGCAAUUCGAACAUGAGCCUUCUCUACGUUUCAUGCAAAAGGCCUCAACUUGCACGCCGAGUGUUCGAUAAAAUUGCGCAUCCAGAAAGGAAAAACAAGACUAUAUUAUGGGACCAAAUGAUUAGGGCUUACGCAUGGGACGGACCAGUUGAGAAAGCCAUCCAAUUGUACGAUGAAAUGAUAGAUUCUGGGAUCAAACCCACCAAAUACACGUACACUUUCGUGCUCAAGGCUUGCUCUGCUUUGCACGAUAUAGAAACCGGCGUGAAGAUUCGUGGGCAUGUGAAAAGACACAAUCUCGACAAUGAUGUUUACGUGUGUACAGCGUUGCUGAACUUCUAUGUUAAGUGUGGGUGUUUAGUGGAAGCAAGGGAACUGUUCGAUGAAAUGCCUGAAAGAGAUGUUGUGGCGUGGAAUGCGAUGAUUUCUGGGCUCUCGUUGAAUGGGAUGCAUUUGGAUGCAACUGGAUUGGUUUUGGAGAUGCAACGGAGGGGUCUGGAACCGAAUUCUUCAACAGUCGCAGCUAUUUUGCCUGGGAUAGGGGAGAAAAGUAGGUUAAAUGAAGGAAAGAGUUUACAUGGUUUUUGCUUGAGGAGAGGUUUUGAUCGUGAUAUCGUAGUUGGAACUGGGAUUUUGGAUAUGUAUGGGAAAUGUGGUUUGCUUGUUUAUGCAAUGAGGAUAUUCCGUGCGUUGGUAUUCAAGAAUGAGGUUACUUGGUGUGCUAUAGUUGGGGCUUGCGUUACUUGUGGUUCUAUGCUAGAGGGCUUUGAAUUGCUCAGAAAAAUGAGGGUGGAAGUUGGUGGGAGUCCUUCUCCGGUCAUGCUCGCGACAGUUGUUCGUGGUUGUGCUAAGCUGAAUGAUUUGAGCAUGGGGAGACAGAUGCACUGUUACAUGAUCAAGCUAGGAUUGUUAUUUGAUAUUAUGGUGGGUAAUACACUCGUUUCGAUGUAUGCAAAAUGUGGAUCGAUAAAUGAUGCAAUGGGAUUCUUUGAGGGUAUGCAGGUUAAGGAUUCUGUUUCUUACAGUGCUGUAAUAUCGGGUUGUGUUCAAAAUGGCUAUGCGGAGGAGGCCCUGCAGCUUUUCCGAAAAAUGCAGGUUGUAGGUGUUGAACCAGAAUUGGCAACAAUGAUGGGAUUCUUGCCAGCCUGCUCUUAUCUAGCAGCCCUUCAACAUGGAGUCUGUGGUCACAGCUACUCAAUCGUUCGUGGAUUCACAGCAGAUGUCGCAAUUUGCAAUACUGUGAUCAACAUGUACAGUAAGUGUGGCAAGAUGGAAGUUGCAAGGCGUGUAUUUGACAGGAUGCACGAGAAGGAUGUGGUGUCUUGGAAUGCCAUGAUUGUUGGUUAUGGAAUUCAUGGGCUUGGGAAGGAAGCAAUUAUGCUGUUUGAGGAUAUGAAGAAUGGUGGUUAUAAAGCAGAUGAAAUAACCUUCAUUGCGUUGCUGUCGGCUUGCAGCCAUUCGGGGCUCGUUGCUGAAGGGAAACAUCUGUUUCGAGCCAUGACUCAAGAAUUCAACAUUGUGCCCAAGAUGGAUCACUACUUUUGCAUGGUGGAUCUGUUGGGCCGUGCUGGCUUCUUGGACAAAGCACACAAACUCAUCAACACGAUGCCAUUUGAACCCGAUGCUCAUGUAUGGAAUUCCUUACUAGCGGCUUGUAGGAUCCACCGAAAUAUUCAACUUGCAGAGGAAGUUUCUGAGAAGAUUCAAACCUUGGGACCUGCAAGCACCGCAAAUUUUGUUCUGUUGUAUAAUUUGUACACCACUGCUCAAAGAUGGGAUGAUGCUGCAAAUAUACGAAUCCAACAGAAGGAAAUGGGCUUCAAGAAAAGACCUGGAUGCAGCUGGAUUGAGGUGAAUGGGGUUGUUCAUGGCUUUGUUGGUGGAGAUUGGUCUCACCAAGAAUCACGUAAAAUAUAUAAGAAACUGGAGGAGCUCAUGUCUGAGAUGAAACGAUUAGGCUACACUGCAGAUUCUGAGUUUGUUUACCAUGACGUUGAGGAGGAGGAGAAGGAAAAGAUGCUCCUCUAUCACAGUGAGAAACUUGCUGUUGCAUAUGGGAUCAUUAGCCUUAAACCCGAGAAAACUAUCAUGGUUACCAAGAAUUUGAGGGUGUGUGGUGACUGCCAUACUGCCUUAAAAUACAUUACAACUAUUACUAAGAGAGAAAUAACAGUAAGAGACACAACUCGUUUUCACCAUUUCAAGAAUGGAGCAUGCAGUUGCGGAGAGUUUUGGUGAAAGCAAAGAGGAUUUUAGUGGGAUUACUUGGGCUUGUGGGUGAACACUCGCCUCGCAGCCUGCUAUGCAGCAUCAAGCAUGGUAAAUCUUUGAUGGUCGCCAAGAAAAUGAUGAAACUUGAAAGGUUUCGUUUAGUGAUAUUUCUUGUGUCCCUAGAUGCAACUGUGUAUAUAUAAGUGACAACUCACAGACAUAGAUAGGUUGCAAGACUACCAAAAUUUGAUGAGGUAUUAUGCUUAUAUCCUGGGAAUGUAAGGUCUCCCUCAUCUUAAAAGGAUUGAAGUUGCCGAGCAGGCUAGGAUGCUGUUUACCACCAGUCCAAGCACAUAAAUAGCCCUCUUCGACGAGAGCAUCAUAGGAUUAAUACACGUGGGACAACAGCAUGCUACAUUCUGGGAUCAGAGGUGACAUUUUUUGGUUCAACUCCGGAAUAUGGAGAAGAGAAGUAGGAUAUUAUAACCACACUUUCCUCUGGACACGACUAUACCCGAGCCCUCCGGAUGUCUUAUAUACGGAUUUCUGCUCUAUGUUCCUGGUUCAUAUGCAUGAUACCAGCUCCUUGAUCUCCUUGAUCAUUUUAUGCCACCGAAAAAUGUUCAGAAACUGACAGCAAAGGUACCUUUAUCUCGGAUCGUCUCACCUCUCAAGAGCACACAUCUUGGUACAUGAUCUACAGAAUGUCUCUUCUGGCUCCCUUUUCACAUGGUGUUGAAUCAAAUCGUGCUAAGUCCGACUGUUUUAAGUUCUGGAAUCCGGUCAGUAUACUGAUUUUUGGGUAUGUUUUGUUUUCCCCUUCACAGAGAGAGUUUGCAGUACCUAUUUCAGAUCAAAAGAGUUAUAUAGCAGUGAAGGAUAUUUUGAUCUUCUGAGAAUAGAAAAAUUAAGAGUAAAGGCCAAAAUUGGUCCUCAACAUAUGGUCAUUUUACGUUUUUGGUCCUAAACAUUAUCUUUUGGAUUUUUUGGUCCUGCACAUAUGAAAAUUUGAUCAUUUUGGU